GCCUCGGUAGCUCAGUCGGUAGAGCACGUCACUGGUAAUGACGGGGUCGUGGGUUCGAGUCCCACCCGAGGCU
rnacentral:tRNA from 1 species